UACGAAGGGGGCUAGCGUUGCUCGGAAUCACUGGGCGUAAAGGGCGCGUAGGCGGAUCUUUAAGUCAGGGGUGAAAUCCUGGAGCUCAACUCCAGAACUGCCUUUGAUACUGGAGAUCUCGAGUCCGGAAGAGGUGAGUGGAACUCCGAGUGUAGAGGUGAAAUUCGUAGAUAUUAGGAAGAACACCAGUGGCGAAGGCGGACUCACUGGUCCGGUACUGACGCUGAGGUGCGAAAGCGUGGGGAGCAAACAGGG
rnacentral:rRNA from 1 species